rnacentral:rRNA from 1 species
GACGAACCGUGCGAACGUUGUUCGGAAUCACUGGGCUUAAAGGGCGCGUAGGCGGGUUCGCAAGUCUGUGGUGAAAGUCUCCAGCUUAACUGGAGAAGUGCCGUGGAUACUGCGAAUCUUGAGGAGGGUAGGGGCGUCUGGAACGGUCGGUGGAGCGGUGAAAUGCGUUGAUAUCGACCGGAACUCCGGUGGCGAAGGCGGCCUGCUGGGCAGUUGCUGACACUGAGGCGCGACAGCGUGGGGAGCAAACAGG